rnacentral:rRNA from 1 species
CCUACGGAGGCUGCAGUGGGGAAUAUUGGACAAUGGGCGAAAGCCUGAUCCAGCCAUGCCGCGUGUGUGAAGAAGGCCUUCGGGUUGUAAAGCACUUUCAGUGGGGAAGAAAGCCUUGGGGCUAAUACCCUCGAGGAAGGACAUCACCCACAGAAGAAGCACCGGCUAACUCCGUGCCAGCAGCCGCGGUAAUACGGAGGGUGCGAGCGUUAAUCGGAAUUACUGGGCGUAAAGCGCGCGUAGGCGGUCUGAUAAGCCGGUUGUGAAAGCCCCGGGCUCAACCUGGGAACGGCAUCCGGAACUGUCAGGCUAGAGUGCAGGAGAGGAAGGUAGAAUUCCCGGUGUAGCGGUGAAAUGCGUAGAGAUCGGGAGGAAUACCAGAGGCGAAGGCGGCCUUCUGGACUGACACUGACGCUGAGGUGCGAAAGCGUGGGUAGCAAACAGGAUUAGAUACCCGAGUAGUC